CAAAAUAACUAAAAAUUAAAUGAACUAAAUUAAUUAACUACAAUAAUAAAAUUAAUUCAAGUAACUAAAAUUAUUAAAAUUAAUUUUUACCCCAAAUAUAAUUUUUGUCGAAUUUUGCUAGCUUGGGAGUUUUUAUGUGUGCCGGAUCAAAGGGCAGUGACUGCCAGUGGCCAGAUCCAACUGACAGUGGCGGAGAGAGGCGGAGACAGUGGCGAUCGGCGGCGGUGGCACACGAUCUGGCGGAGGAGCGACUGGCAGCGAGGCUUGAAGCUAGUGCUGCUGUUGUCGGCGCCACAGGCCUGGCAGAGGGCUGACUGUGGUGCGCGGAGGAGCUGCGGGACGUGCUGGCGCGCGAUGGAGGCGAUGCUGACUGCAACUGGCGCGCGGUGGUGAUCGACUGAC
rnacentral:lncRNA from 1 species